rnacentral:sRNA from 2 species
ACUUAGCCCCGAUAGAACUGGAAAUCCUUUUGUGCCGGGGUUCGGCACAAAAGAUUGUAGGGGAUAGCGGGACUGAUG